GGUCCCCAACACUUGAUAUAAUAGCAAAUUAAGGAUCUGUGUAGAAUUUGUUUUCAAUUCUGACUUUUGGUCUCAUAAAUAGUGAAAUUUGGGGUUCUUAUUAAAGAGUGAUACUUGCUAUUACUUUUGAACUCAUUUGUUUUAUUGUCAGUGAUUGCAGAGUCAGGAAUUGUGAAGUUGUAUUUAAUUAUUGGCAAUUUGUUUCAAAUCUCUUAUUGUUCUAGAACUUCUUGCUAUUUGAAAUAAGUAUAAUUGCUGAUCAUAGAUAGGCAAAUGUGAUUCUGAUGCUCGCUUCAUAGACUGGUGAAAAUGUGUGAUGACCAGUUGAAAUUAACUUUCCACAAUAAUUUUAAUUGAGAACACAUAUCUGAUUGGAAAAAAAUGUUGUCAGGGUCAUGUGAAGCAGAAAGU
rnacentral:misc_RNA from 1 species